rnacentral:rRNA from 1 species
GUCCACGCCUUAAACUAUGAAUACUAAGUGUAGGCGGGUUACAGCCGGUGCCGCAGCUAACGCAUUAAGUAUUCCGCCUGGGAAGUACGGCCGCAAGGUUGAAACUCAAAGGAAUUGACGGGGGCCCGCACAAGCGGUGGAGCAUGUGGUUUAAUUCGACGCAACGCGAAGAACCUUACACAGGCUGGACAUGCAGGUAGUAGAAGGGUGAAAGCCCAACGAGGUAGCAAUACCAUCCUGCUCAGGUGCUGCAUGGCUGUCGU